rnacentral:rRNA from 1 species
AGUGAACGCUGGCGGUAGGCCUAACACAUGCAAGUCGAACGGCAGCACAGUAAGAGCUUGCUCUUACGGGUGGCGAGUGGCGGACGGGUGAGGAAUACAUCGGAAUCUACUUUUUCGUGGGGGAUAACGUAGGGAAACUUACGCUAAUACCGCAUACGACCUACGGGUGAAAGCAGGGGAUCUUCGGACCUUGCGCGAUUGAAUGAGCCGAUGUCGGAUUAGCUAGUUGGCGGGGUAAAGGCCCACCAAGGCGACGAUCCGUAGCUGGUCUGAGAGGAUGAUCAGCCACACUGGAACUGAGACACCGUCCAGACUCCUACGGGAGGGAGCAGUGGGGAAUAUUGGACAAUGGGCGCAAGCCUGAUCCAACCAUACCGCGUGGGUUAAGAAGGCCUUCGGGUUGUAAAGCCCUUUUGUUGGGAAAGAAAAGCAGCAGGUUAAUACCCCGCUGUUCUGACGGUACCCAAAGAAUAAGCACCGGCUAACUUCGUG